AUCAGCUGCCAAUACCAGUGCCAGAGAUGGAUCUACGGCCACCACCGCCAACCACGCCGCUGGGAAGAUCUUAGAUUGAAAACUGGAACUUUGUACGAGGUUUCAUGAAUAGAGGAAGUGUGCUUGCUCACUCUCUGAGUGUUUCGUCGAGGGGUGAACACGGUCAAGGUUUUUCAACAAGAAAAUUAACCUGCAAAUUAAAUUGAGUGUGUUUGUUUCCACCGCGUUAUCAAAGGCUUUAUGAUACAAGGUGGAGACAUUUCGGCUGGAAAUGGCAGUGGGGGAGAGUCAAUUUACGGGUUGAAGUUUGAAGAUGAAAACUUUGACAUAAAGCAUGAGAGAAAAGGAAUGUUGUCUAUGGCUAAUAAAGGCCUUGACACCAGUGGCUCUCAGUUUUUCAUUACCACCACUUGGACUUCUCAUCUGGAUGGGAAUUGCGUUUGGGAAGGUGAUCAAGGGCAUGGGUGUGGUUCGCUCAGUUGAGAAUGUGAACACGAAGGGCGGAGACUUGCCUAUCCAAUAGUAU